rnacentral:rRNA from 1 species
AUUGAACGCUGGCGGCAGGCCUAACACAUGCAAGUCGAACGAGUGGCGCACGUGUGUGUCAUGUAUGGGAACUUGCUUGAUGGUGGGGGAUAACUAUUGGAAACGGUCGCUAAUACCGAUUACCAUCGGAUGUGCCCAGAUGGGAUUAGCUAGUAGGUGGGGUAAAGGCUCACCUAGGCGACGAUCCCUAGCUGGUCUGAGAGGAGGAGGAGCCACACUGGAACGGAGAAACGGUCCGGACGCCUACGGGAGGCAGCAGUGGGGAAUAUUGCACAAUGGGCGCAAGCCUGAUGCAGCCAUGCCGCGUGUAUGAAGAAGGCCUUCGGGUUGUAAAGUACUUUCAGCGGGGAGGCGUUAACCGCAGAAGAAGCACCGGCUAACUCCGUGCCAGCAGCCGCGGUAAUAC